rnacentral:rRNA from 1 species
GUGAACGCUGGCGGUAGGCCUAACACAUGCAAGUCGAACGGCAGCACAGUAAGCGCUUGCUCUUACGGGUGGCGAGUGGCGGACGGGUGAGGAAUACAUCGGAAUCUACUUUUUCGUGGGGGAUAACGUAGGGAAACUUACGCUAAUACCGCAUACGACCUACGGGUGAAAGCAGGGGAUCUUCGGACCUUGCGCGAUUGAAUGAGCCGAUGUCGGAUUAGCUAGUUGGCGGGGUAAAGGCCCACCAAGGCGACGAUCCGUAGCUGGUCUGAGAGGAUGAUCAGCCACACUGGAACUGAGACACGGUCCAGACUCCUACGGGAGGCAGCAGUGGGGAAUAUUGGACAAUGGGCGCAAGCCUGAUCCAGCCAUACCGCGUGGGUGAAGGAGGCCUUCGGGUUGUAAAGCCCUUUUGUUGGGAAAGAAAAGCAGCAGGUUAAUACCCCGCUGUUCUGACGGUACCCAAAGAAUAAGCACCGGCUAACUUCGUG